UACGAAGGGGGCUAGCGUUGCUCGGAAUGACUGGGCGUAAAGGGCGCGUAGGCGGUGUACACAGUCAGGCGUGAAAUUCCCGGGCUUAACCUGGGGGCUGCAUUUGAUACGUGUUGUCUAGAGUGAGGAAGAGGGUUGUGGAAUUCCCAGUGUAGAGGUGAAAUUCGUAGAUAUUGGGAAGAACACCGGUGGCGAAGGCGGGUCUCUGGGCCGUAACUGACGCUGAGGAGCGAAAGCGUGGGGAGCGAACAGG
rnacentral:rRNA from 1 species